CUUCAGAGUAUUUAUUGAUCAAAGAGUUCAUUAGGGUCUUGGACAGCUAUGAUGCUCCAUGGGCCCACUGGACCACUGCUGAGUACAUGCUCUUGGGUAAACAGAACUUGAGAUUGUUGGAGUACAGCCAGUCUUUAAGGGUUGCCUCUUUCUGUUUCCAACCUUGUAUUCCUUCAGGGUCAGCAGCUGCUUGUUGUUCCUUCAGGAGAUCUGUGGGUAGGACCUACAUGGUGAAUAUGGGAGUUUCUUCAGCAGACCAUCUUCUGUCC